ensembl:lncRNA
GAUAAAUCAGACCCAGUUAAUUAGUGGUGCUGCUUUUGAAGCAGGACAAGCAACAGAGUCUUGCAGUUGGGAAAUCUGGUUAACAUGGUCAGCUGAGUUUAAGAUGUGAUUAAUCUGACCAAAUGCAGUGAAAAACAGCUCAUCUCCAUCACAAAAGGCCACUUUAAUUGCCAGUGCUGACUGUGGCCAAGGAAGGAAUGGAGAUUCCAUGAGAGAAGGGUUUUCCCUACGGUAAAUACUGUCCCCUUGCUAGGUAGCUGAUUAAAAUAGGAGAAUAAGCCAGAAACCCCGCAGUCUGCUGUGUAUCAUCAGAGGAAAAGGCAAGAACAUGGCAGACGGCUGCAAAAGUGUUUUCUCCCUGGAAAACAGUCACUGCUUCUCCUGCAGUAUGCUUAGCCAGCAGCGGCCAAGAGCCAGAGCUGCCUGCUGCCCAUUCCUUCCCCUGAGCAACCUUUUUGGCUCUCAGAAAUGAAAAAAGCAAAGUAAAACCAACUGAACCCCUUGGCUGUCUUGGAAAUUGAAAUGAUGAGUUCCUCUCUGUGACAUGCUUGUUCCAAGCUGCAGAUUGUGCACGUGUGAUUGGUGGUAUCAUCAUUCUCAGCUUAAAGACUGCACACAUUUUACAGCAGGGGAAGAAGACUUUGGCAAGAUGAAGUUUGGCCAUACAGAGGAAAAAAAGAGCAGACUGUGCCAAAGCAUAAACAGAAUGGUGGAAUUUCCCAGCAUUUUUCAUGGGCUACUGGUUAGACCAAGAGCUGAAUGUCUGAAUUAAAUUUUAUAAUACUGUCCACUCCCCAAGUGGACACAUAUCGAGUGUAUAAUCCGGAU